CCCGAUAGCUCGGGACGAAAUGUGGUCGGCGGAGGCGCUACGCGCCUCCAAAAGGCGGCGAAGCCGCCGACUCGUCGACUGAAUCGCAAG
rfam:Halolamina sp. CBA1230 CBA1230_contig03, whole genome shotgun sequence.